rnacentral:rRNA from 1 species
UGGGGAAUUUUGGACAAUGGGCGAAAGCCUGAUCCAGCAAUGCCGCGUGUGUGAAGAAGGCCUUCGGGUUGUAAAGCUCUUUUGUCCGGAAAGAAAUGGCUCUGGUUAAUACCUGGGGUCGAUGACGGUACCGGAAGAAUAAGGACCGGCUAACUACGUGCCAGCAGCCGCGGUAAUACGUAGGGUCCAAGCGUUAAUCGGAAUUACUGGGCGUAAAGCGUGCGCAGGCGGUUGUGCAAGACCGAUGUGAAAUCCCCGAGCUUAACUUGGGAAUUGCAUUGGUGACUGCACGGCUAGAGUGUGUCAGAGGGGGGUAGAAUUCCACGUGUAGCAGUGAAAUGCGUAGAGAUGUGGAGGAAUACCGAUGGCGAAGGCAGCCCCCUGGGAUAACACUGACGCUCAUGCACGAAAGCGUGGGGAGCAAACAGG